rnacentral:rRNA from 1 species
GAGUUUGAUCAUGGCUCAGAUUGAACGCUGGCGGCAUGCUUUACACAUGCAAGUCGAGCGGCAGCGCGGGGGCAACCCUGGCGGCGAGCGGCGAACGGGUGAGUAAUGCCAUCGGAACGUGUCCCGUAGAGGGGGAUAGCCCGGCGAAAGCCGGAUUAAUACCGCAUAUGCUCUACGGAGGAAAGCCGGGGAAUUCGCAAGAACCUGGCGCUAUGGGAGCGGCCGAUGUCCGAUUUAGCUAGUUGGUGGGGUAAAGGCCUACCAAGGCGGACGAUCGGUAGGCUGGUCUGAGAGGAUGAUCAGCCACACCUGGGACUGAGACACGGCCCAGACUCCUACGGGAGGCAGCAGUGGGGAAUUUUGGACAAUGGGGGAAACCCUGAUCCAGCCAUGCCGCGUGAGUGAAGAAGGCCUUCGG